rnacentral:rRNA from 1 species
UACGUAGGGGGCAAGCGUUGUCCGGAAUCAUUGGGCGUAAAGCGCGCGUAGGCGGCUCAGUAAGUCCGCUCUGAAAGCUUGGGGCUUAACCCCAAGAGGCGGGCGGAUACUGCUGGGCUCGAGUCCGGAAGAGGCGAGUGGAAUUCCUGGUGUAGCGGUGGAAUGCGCAGAUAUCAGGAGGAACACCAAUAGCGAAGGCAGCUCGCUGGGACGUUACUGACACUGAGGCGCGAAAGCGUGGGGAGCGAACAGG